rnacentral:rRNA from 1 species
GACGAACGCUGGCGGCGUGCUUAACACAUGCAAGUCGAACGGAAAGGCCCUGCUUUUGUGGGGUGCUCGAGUGGCGAACGGGUGAGUAACACGUGAGUAACCUGCCCUUGACUUUGGGAUAACUUCAGGAAACUGGGGCUAAUACCGGAUAGGAGCUCCUGCUGCAUGGUGGGGGUUGGAAAGUUUCGGCGGUUAGGGAUGGACUCGCGGCUUAUCAGCUUGUUGGUGGGGUAGUGGCUUACCAAGGCUUUGACGGGUAGCCGGUCUGAGAGGGUGACCGGCCACAUUGGGACUGAGAUACGGCCCAGACUCCUACGGGAGGCAGCAGUGGGGAAUAUUGCACAAUGGGCGGAAGCCUGAUGCAGCAACGCCGCGUGCGGGAUGACGGCCUUCGGGUUGUAAACCGCUUUCGCCUGUGACGAAGCGUGAGUGACGGUAAUGGGUAAAGAAGCACCGGCUAACUACGUG